rnacentral:tRNA from 1 species
GGGCUCGUGGAUUAGUCUGGAAUAUCGCUGCCUUCGCAAGGCAGAGACCUCGGGUUCAAAUCCCGACGAGUCCACCA